rnacentral:rRNA from 1 species
UUGAACGCUGGCGGCAUGCUUUACGCAUGCAAGUCGAACGGUAACAGGCCGCAAGGUGCUGACGAGUGGCGAACGGGUGAGUAAUGCAUCGGAACGUGCCCAGUCGUGGGGGAUAACUACUCGAAAGAGUAGCUAAUACCGCAUACGAUCUAUGGAUGAAAGCGGGGGACCGUAAGGCCUCGCGCGAUUGGAGCGGCCGAUGUCAGAUUAGGUAGUUGGUGGGGUAAAGGCUCACCAAGCCAACGAUCUGUAGCUGGUCUGAGAGGACGACCAGCCACACUGGGACUGAGACACGGCCCAGACUCCUACGGGAGGCAGCAGUGGGGAAUUUUGGACAAUGGGCGCAAGCCUGAUCCAGCAAUGCCGCGUGCAGGAAGAAGGCCUUCGGGUUGUAAACUGCUUUUGUACGGAACGAAACGGCUCUGGUUAAUACCCGGGGCUAAUGAUGGUACCGUAAGAAUAAGCACCGGCUAACUACGUG